AUUGAACGCUGGCGGCAUGCCUUACACAUGCAAGUCGAACGGUAACGGGCCUUCAGGUGCCGACGAGUGGCGCACGGGUGAGUAAUACAUCGGAACGUGCCCGAUCGUGGGGGAUAACGAGGCGAAAGCUUUGCUAAUACCGCAUACGAUCUACGGAUGAAAGCAGGGGACCGCAAGGCCUUGCGCGGACGGAGCGGCCGAUGGCAGAUUAGGUAGUUGGUGGGAUAAAAGCUUACCAAGCCGACGAUCUGUAGCUGGUCUGAGAGGAUGAUCAGCCACACUGGGACUGAGACACGGCCCAGACUCCUACGGGAGGCAGCAGUGGGGAAUUUUGGACAAUGGGCGCAAGCCUGAUCCAGCCAUGCCGCGUGCAGGAUGAAGGCCUUCGGGUUGUAAACUGCUUUUGUACGGAACGAAAAGCCUUCUUUUAAUACAGGAGGGUCAUGACGGUACCGGAAGAAUAAGCACCGGCUAACUACGUG
rnacentral:rRNA from 1 species